CCCAGGCAGGCAGAGCUUCCACACACUGCGGAGACCCAUUCCAGUAAUUCAGAAUGCAACACCUGGACAGAAUGUGCAGCCUGUAACAGUGCUCAUUUAUUUUCACUCAGCCUGGCCUACCAAGCAGAAGUCCCAGAGGUACUCCGUGUCCUCAUUAGCAUGUUUUAUUCUACAGGCAUCGCCAGCAGUCCUCAUCAGAAAAGUUAAUACCAGGUUUCCUGGUAGGUAGGACGCUUCACGGUUGCCCAGUGGUCUUUUGGGCUAUUAGAUUGACCGCAUUCCAGUCCCUACUAUUUUGGUUGGGGAACAAAGGAAAUUAAACCCACCUCCAAAUACAGCCCCGUGUAAGUUUUAGGUCUGGUCUUCCCACCAGAAACCCAGCACCGGGGUUGUGUGUGUGUGUGUGUGGGGGGGGGUGCAGCUGGCCUGGGGCGCGGGCCAGGGAGCGCCCGUUCAAGGCCAGAGAUGCGCAGCGGGCGUUGGGUGGACCCGAGGGCACGAACGGGGAGCCAGAACUCUGCUCGGAAGUCAAGGUUUGAACUUCCCAAUCCCGAACGGAUCUGCCUCAGCACACGUCAGUAGCCGGGGCACGGUUUCGCGAAGGGUCUUCUUCGCCCCUCCUUCUUCCGCCCCGCCUUAUUCUUAGGGAAUUUCAAGAGUUUCCCCGAGCCUUGCAAGCGCCUUUACCAGCACCGGGACUCCCUACGUGUUCAGAGGCCCUUCCCAGGGGGCUCCGCUCAGCCACCCGACGGCUUCGGGGGAGAGAAGGGUGGAGGCAGGGCGGCAAGUGACAACUCGAAUGAAGUCGAGCGCUCGCUCCUUGGCCGUCGGGUCGCCGGCCUGGCCUCCCCUCCCCCUUCUGGACCGCGAAGCCGGGAGGCUGCGGGGAGCUGGAGCCGCGGGGCCCGGGAUGCUAAGAUGGCAGGAGGGGCCCGCGGAGCCCUCUCCCCAAAGCUUUCACUUCUGUUCGGCCCAGCGUCAUCUGGCACAAAAACAAAACAAAACAACAACAAACUUUCAACACAGACUCAUCCCGAGUUAUUUCUGUCUGGAUUGAGGCGGGACACAAUGAACGCGGCGCGAAGUCCUUUACAGAGUGAGCUCGUGUUUUAGCAGUUGGUUUUGGAAAAGCGUCCUGGCGCCCGCUCGUUCUAAACGCCCGUUCCUCCUCUAACGCUCCGCAGGUCACCACCACCCAUUCAAGAUUUCUUCUGCCCGGGAGUUGCCAGCGUGGAGUAAAAAAAAAAAAAAAAAAAAAAAAAAAAGCUGGCUGUGUGUGCGUGCUAAGGGGUUCAACCCGGAGCACCGCGCCGCCUCGCACAAAGUAACUACUGUUGGCCUAAAAACCCCAAGAGCGGCACCCUCAUCUACGUGUCUUCAGGCUUGAUCCUCAAGAGUCUAAGCAGGAACCACGUGGAAGUCAAGUUGCCGCGGCUUUAACAAAGCACUCUGUUACAAAAGGACUCUGCUUUUUUUUUUUUUAAUUUUUUUUCAAGGCUACGGAACGGCCGGCAGGAUUUCCAUAAGAAAAAAAAAAAGCACGCAUUGUACAGCACUGUAUGGAGCACCCUAAGCAAACUGGACUGAGACGUCCAACCCAAGCC
ensembl:lncRNA